rnacentral:rRNA from 1 species
GACGAACGCUGGCGGCGUGCUUAACACAUGCAAGUCGAACGGAAAGGCCCUGCUUUUGUUGGGUGCUCGAGUGGCGAACGGGUGAGUAACACGUGAGUAACCUGCCCUUGACUUUGGGAUAACUUCAGGAAACUGGGGCUAAUACCGGAUAGGAGCUCCUGCUGCAUGGUGGGGGUUGGAAAGUUUCGGCGGUUGGGGAUGGACUCGCGGCUUAUCCGCUUGUUGGUGGGGUAGUGGCUUACCAAGGCUUUGACGGGUAGCCGGCCUGAGAGGGUGACCGGCCACAUUGGGACUGAGAUACGGACCAGACUCCUACGGGAGGCAGCAGUGGGGAAUAUUGCACAAUGGGCGGAAGCCUGAUGCAGCAACGCCGCGUGCGGGAUGACGGCCUUCGGGUUGUAAACCGCUUUCGCCUGUGACGAAGCGUGAGUGACGGUAAUGGGUAAAGAAGCACCGGCUAACUACGUG